GUCUGUUUCGCAUUUCAGAUUCUGCACAUCUAAGCAAAGAUUGAAACAAGAUAUGCACAACGGGCUGUGCAUAAAAUCUGAUGCAACCUUGUCAUAUAAUGCCCCAAACGGUUCAAUUGGGAGUAAGAAACAUGCAAAUACGGAAAAUAAUGCAAUGAACAAAGAAUAUGAUACACCAGAUCAACAAAGAGUAAAACACCCAGAAACAGUUUAUGUGUACGUGCUGCUACUCCACUGGCUUGAAUCAUGGCGAUGAAGAUUGGAAUGUCUCCCAAUGGGCUUCCUUUGCCCCCAGCUAUACUGAUACCAAGAGCAUCAUUUGGACCCUUAACAGAGAGGUUCUGUCCCAUACCCGAGUUUCUGUGAGAGGAAUCAGCAGACGACCUCUUAGUGCUGACAAAAUUCUGUAAAGUGGAGAUAACUGGAGCAAAUG